GGGGCUGUGGCGCAGUUGGGAGCGCGAUUCGUUCGCAACGAAUAGGUCGAGGGUUCGAAUCCCUUCAGCUCCACCA
rnacentral:tRNA from 5 species